UUCCAAUAACUUCUUCAUACUAACAUAGAAUUUAUCAAGCAAUAUGCGUAAAUUAUAGCCGAAAAAGUUCUCUUUUCAACCCUAGUUUUCAAUCUUCUAUUGCUUUUUGUACGCAUGCAUUAUAUACAAAUGAGUGACAGUAGGUACAAAAUCAACACCCUAACUUUAAGCGCCCAUAUCAUUUUCACAUAAACUCUAAAUGAUUCAAAAUUUGCACCAAAACCGUAGUAAAAAAUCUAAACGUUCUGAACCUAGCCUCCAAUACUCAAAUGCCUCCGAAAAAUUAACC
rnacentral:lncRNA from 1 species